rnacentral:rRNA from 1 species
CGGGUGAGUAACGCGUAGGAAUCUACCUGGUAGUGGGGGACAACAUGGUGAAAACCAUGCUAAUACCGCAUACGCCCUAUGGGGGAAAGCGGGGGAUCUUCGGACCUCGCGCUAUCGGAUGAGCCUGCGUAGGAUUAGCUUGUUGGUGAGGUAAGAGCUCACCAAGGCGACGAUCCUUAGCUGGUCUGAGAGGAUGAUCAGCCACACUGGGACUGAGACACGGCCCAG